AGCUAAUACUUGCUUUAGCACUCUUGAUUAAGUUCUUGAGUGUGUACUUGUUAAGCCUUUUAAGAAAAAAGUUAUUAACUUAAGGAAUUAUAACAAAGAAGCAACACGUAAAUGGAUUUUCCAUUUUUUAGUGUGUAUCAAUCGAGUUUCUGACCUAUCAGCUUUUGAUGUUAGGGUAUUGGCCUAACAUGGCUAUGACGGGUAACGGGGAAUUAGAGUUCGAUUCCGGAGAGGGAGCCUGAGAAAUAGCUACCACAUCUAAGGAAGGCAGCAGGCGCGUAAAUUACCCAAUUCUAAAGAAGAGAGGUAGUGACAAGAAAUAACAAUACAAGGCCAAUCUGGCUUUGUAAUUGGAAUGAUGGGAAUUUAAAACCUUCCCAAAACUCAAUUGGAGGGCAAGUCUGGUGCCAGCAGCCGCGGUAAUUCCAGCUCCAAUAGCGUAUAUUAAAAUUGUUGCAGUUAAAACGCUCGUAGUUGAAUUUCAAAGAAUCGAUAUUUUAAGUAACGCUUUUAGCUUAAUCCACAUAACUGAUACUACGUAUCGACUUUGUGCGCAUUUUGCUAUUAUGUGUUCUUUUAAUUAAAAUGAUACAUAACUGAUACUACGUAUCGACUUUGUGCGCAUUUUGCUAUUAUGUGUUCUUUUAAUUAAAAUGAUUCUUUUUAAGGUCUUUCUUUUGCUCCGGCAUUUGAAGAUCUUGUUACUUUGAGUAAAUUAGAGUGUUCAAAGCAAACAGAUAUAGCAUUGCGCGUUUGAAUACUACAGCAUGGAAUAACAAAAUUGAACAAGUCAGAAUUUUGUUCUUUUUUCUUAUUUUGGCUUAGUUACGAUUAAUAGGAGUAGCUUGGGGGCAUUUGUAUUCAGAUGUCAGAGGUGAAAUUCUUAGAUUUUCUGGAGACAAACAACUGCGAAAGCAUUUGCCUAAAAUACUUCCAUUAAUCAAGAACGAAAGUUAAGGGAGUGAAGACGAUCAGAUACCGUCGUAAUCUUAACCAUAAACUAUACCGACUAGGUUUUGGAUGAAAGUAAAACAAAUAAGGAUAGUCUCUUCGGGGAUAGUCCUUAGAUUUCUUCCUUCAGUACCCUAUGAGAAAUCAAAGUCUUUGGGUUCUGGGGCGAGUAUUCGCGCAAGCGAGAAAGUUAAAAGAAUUGACGGAAGGGCACCACCAGGCGUGGAGCUUGCGGCUUAAUUUGACUCAACACGGGAAAACUCACUAGUUUAAAACAAGAGUAGGAUUGACAGAUUAAUAGCUCUUUCUUGAUUUCUUGGAUGGUGAUGCAUGGCCGUUUUUAGUUCGUGAAUAUGAUUUGUCUGGUUAAUUCCGAUAACGAACGAGAUCUUAACCUGCUAAUUAGCGGUAAGUACGACAUAUUUUUAUAUCGAAUUGGAUAUGUAUGAUUUGCUAAAUUGCGGUCGCAAAUAAUGAUGAUCCUGAUUGCUUUUCACGUCAGUGUUUUCCAGAAUCGUUGACGUGACUAGUAUAUUCUCGCUCCUUCUGUUCCCUGGACUUCACUUCCCUGGCUUAUCAUACUGUUUCCCUUUUGUGUAGAAAUGUAUUUAUUUUAUGUAAAGCUUCUUAGAGGAACGAUGUGUGUCUAACACAAG
rnacentral:rRNA from 1 species